AGAGACUGGAAGGCAUCCCAACACCAGUCAGCCCUGCUUUUUCUCAGCGAAGUUGAUCCAGACCUUCCUCGUACAUUUUAACCCUUUUAACAUACACUUACCAUAUGACCCAGCAGUCCUGCUCCUGAGUAUUUACCCAAGAAAAAUGAAAACAUAGACCCACAUGACGGAUUGG
rnacentral:lncRNA from 1 species